rnacentral:rRNA from 1 species
CUACGGGUCGCAGCAGUGGGGAAUAUUGGACAAUGGGGGCAACCCUGAUCCAGCAAUGCCGCGUGUGUGAAGAAGGCCUGCGGGUUGUAAAGCACUUUCAAUAGGGAGGAAAAGCUUUGGGUUAAUACCCCGAAGUCUUGACGUUACCUUUAGAAGAAGCACCGGCUAACUCCGUGCCAGCAGCCGCGGUAAUACAGAGGGUGCGAGCGUUAAUCGGAAUUACUGGGCGUAAAGCGCGCGUAGGCGGUGUGAUAAGUCAGAUGUGAAAGCCCCGGGCUUAACCUGGGAACUGCAUUUGAUACUGUCAAACUAGAGUAUGGUAGAGGGUAGUAGAAUUCCUGGUGUAGCGGUGAAAUGCGUAGAUAUCAGGAGGAAUACCAGUGGCGAAGGCGGCUACCUGGACCAAUACUGACGCUGAGGUGCGAAAGCGUGGGGAGCAAACAGGAUUAGAUACCCCGGUAGUC